rnacentral:tRNA from 2 species
GCUACAAUAGCUCAGUGGGUUAGAACGUGUGGACCUUAACCACAAGGUCGGAGGUUCAACCCCUCCUCCUAGUG